AGAGUUUGAUCCUGGCUCAGAUUGAACGCUGGCGGCAUGCUUUACACAUGCAAGUCGAACGGCAGCACAGAGAAGCUUGCUUCUUGGGUGGCGAGUGGCGAACGGGUGAGUAACAUAUCGGAACGUACCGAGUAAUGGGGGAUAACUAAUCGAAAGAUUAGCUAAUACCGCAUAUUCUCUGAGGAGGAAAGCAGGGGACCUUCGGGCCUUGCGUUAUUCGAGCGGCCGAUAUCUGAUUAGCUAGUUGGUGGGGUAAAGGCCUACCAAGGCGACGAUCAGUAGCGGGUCUGAGAGGAUGAUCCGCCACACUGGGACUGAGACACGGCCCAGACUCCUACGGGAGGCAGCAGUGGGGAAUUUUGGACAAUGGGCGCAAGCCUGAUCCAGCCAUGCCGCGUGUCUGAAGAAGGCCUUCGGGUUGUAAAGGACUUUUGUCAGGGAAGAAAAGGCUGUUGCUAAUAUCGACAGCUGAUGACGGUACCUGAAGAAUAAGCACCGGCUAACUACGUGCCAGCAGCCGCGGUAAUACGUAGGGUGCGAGCGUUAAUCGGAAUUACUGGGCGUAAAGCGAGCGCAGACGGUUACUUAAGCAGGAUGUGAAAUCCCCGGGCUCAACCUGGGAACUGCGUUCUGAACUGGGUGACUAGAGUGUGUCAGAGGGAGGUAGAAUUCCACGUGUAGCAGUGAAAUGCGUAGAGAUGUGGAGGAAUACCGAUGGCGAAGGCAGCCUCCUGGGAUAACACUGACGUUCAUGCUCGAAAGCGUGGGUAGCAAACAGGAUUAGAUACCCUGGUAGUCCACGCCCUAAACGAUGUCAAUUAGCUGUUGGGCAACUUGAUUGCUUAGUAGCGUAGCUAACGCGUGAAAUUGACCGCCUGGGGAGUACGGUCGCAAGAUUAAAACUCAAAGGAAUUGACGGGGACC
rnacentral:rRNA from 1 species